CGCGGAGGGAACAUCUGGCACCAGUUAACUUGGCCUAAACCCGCGUCCGUUCAAAUCAGGCCGGUAGCAGGAUCCCGAGAACAAAUGGAGCAGUGUGAAAGGUGCGCUCCUGGCAAAGGGUGUUUUUUCAGGGAAGCGUCAUCCGAGUGCAACAGGAAAUACAGCAUGUGCUCCAAGCGUUUAUUGGAAAAACCCAACUGGUGAGAGACAAGGGGCUGGGAGAGAGGCCCGGAGGGAGGGAAGGGGAGCAGCGGGGGGUGGCAAGGGGCCCCGGGCAGGGUCGGGGGAAAGGGGGCCAGUGAGCCGGGCGAGCCGCGGAGCAGGAGGGACCCGCUGCCCCAUAGGGCUACAACAACACAUGAUGGAGGGGGGAGCAUUUCAGAAGUGGGCCGCGUUCUUGGCCACCGGCUGACCGUAGUGGCAGCUCAGCUGCAAGCCACAUGCCGCGUGCAAAUAAAUAUGUGCAGUCGUAACCCAGGUGACGGCACAACAGUGGUUUGGGUUUCUGAUAGUCGUCCUGAAGGGCCCGGCACAGGCGCCGCCGCUGAGCUUGCUCCAGGAAGGAGACUGGAUUAUCCAGAUGCUAAGCAAGAACUGUUGGUGCCAGAUCCGGACGGGACGCAGCAGUGGGGUUUGUCAUGGGACCUGGAUCUGCCCUUAUUGGAGUGCACCAGAGUGGCAAUUGCAAAUGACGAUGAUGGAAACCAACUGCCGGGUUUCCAUCUGGAAGCCAGAUGGAAAAUAAGGAUACUUGUUUUGGUUAGAACAUUUGGAAAAAAUUCUGAAUUCAGUUUUAAAGCAAGGAAAACAGGCAUUGAUGAAAACAUGAGAAGAGAAAGUUCAGUUAAACUUUUGAUGUCCACUGUUGCGGCCAACAUUUUUCACUGUAUUAGCAACAACAAGCCAGGACAUGCCAUCAGAAAAGCUCGGUGAAAAAACUUCUUCAAUUCUAGAAAUCAGUUGAGGAGCAAAGCUUGACAGUGCCCGAUAAAGUGCUUAGAGGCUUUAUUUUGAUUCAUGCAGUUACAGCAACUUCUGUUAUUGCUGCCUGAAAGGAGCCGAAUAAGAGAUGCUAAUACCCGGGGAAGAGAGGAGCCAAAACCAAAUCUUCUGGUUGGUCUUAAAAUGGAGAUGGUGGCGGAAAAGUGAGUGUGUCCAAAACCCGGGUGAAACAGGAGGAAACCAGUUCAGGUUGAUCAGAAGUCUAGGUGUUGUCGUGAGCGAACCGGCGAAGGGGGGCGAGCCCUGGGAGCACGCUCGCUCGUGUGAGCGGUGCAGCUCGUCGGCCGUCCCGCGGUGAUGGAUGCGGGGAGCUCGCCCGAGCGCUUGCGCAAGCCAGAAGGGCGACGGCGGAGCGGCGGCUGGAGAGGCCGGGACGGAGGUGCUGCCUCUCUCGGCAGGACACGCUGCUGCAUUAGGUGCCUUUGCCACGUUGUCCCGCGUCGGUCUCGCUCGCUGGGAUGGCGCAUGAACGAAAGCGGUUAACUCUGAGCCCGUGUGUUUCCUAUUGUCUGUGCUAUAAAAUGAAUUUUAACAUAUGUAUUUUUGUUUCCUCUGAAACGUAACAAGCUUCUGUUUUAAUUCCAGAUAACUGUGCUCAGACCUGACUGUAAUUAUAGGCUAUGGCAGAAGUGUCAUGUUUUGCCUCUCUCCAAGAGAGGUGUUAACAUGCAAUUAAUUCCCUUGGGUCUUCCUGUCUUCCCGUGCCUUCCCCGCAGUUCCCCUCCACUCCCUGGGACACAAUCUGCCUCGUCUGCUCUCCCCCACAAAAAACACGGCACAUACCCCCAAAAAUCUUUGCACCACCCUUGUGAAGGGCAGCGCUGGUGGUGAAGGCUUUGCUGGAAGCUGCCCACCUCUCGUCUGCGUUACUCUGCUCAGACCCAAUUUCCCAGCACUGGAGUUGACUCUUCCAUGAAGGUGGAAGCCAAAAGCUUUAACUGGGCUUCUGGGAACAAGCAAACGCCAAGAGAGUUGACCCAUGAGUUGUCUGCAAAAAGCACUGAAAAGGUUGUGAUCAGCCCUGCCCACGGUGGAGGGUUUGGGAAAAAAAUCCUGUGCUGUUGUUUAGCAAAUUCUGGCAAAAAUGUGGCUCCUCCCCGCAAGGCCUCUGAGUUUCUCGCUGUUUCUGGGUUGUCCCUCUCGAAAGCAGGGACCAGGCUGCUCGUUUCGGUGUCUGCUGCGAUGGGACGUGGACUUCCCCACGUGCACCAUCGAACAAGGAACUCUUGGUUCGCAGACGGUGCUUCACCAAAGCAACAGGCGGUGACGGUGCGUGAUGGGCACCCUCCGUAUCGGAAGCUGAAGCCUAGUUGCUGUGGUUUGAGGGUGUCUGAAGAGAUUUUCUGUUCCUUUAUGGCUUUUUCUCAGUAGUGUUGCAGUAGACCUACCAGGCUGGUAGCUGCCCUGUGCUUGAACAUGGAGGCAUCUCCUCUUGUCCCUGAUGGACGGGGUGGAGAUGGUCUCGUGGCGAGAUCUGGUACUGGUGAUACAGCACACACAGGAGAUGUAAACCACACUGCUGCUGCUGCCAUGACAACAGUGAAUAUUAUGAAUUUCUCCUAAGCUGUUUGUCUUCAGAUUUACUCUUGGAUACAUGGCCUGAUUUCCCAGAUUUUAUAGUCUCAGUCCUUUACACAAGUCUGCAUUAGUGUUUUCUUCUUUGAUGUGAACCGGCUGAUAUGCAGGAUGGUUAAUUAGUGACUUCUGAUCAAUAAACUCAGAUGGCACUAUCA
ensembl:lncRNA